AACGAACGCUGGCGGCAUGCUUAACACAUGCAAGUCGAACGAAACCGUCGGGCCUAGUUGCGCACGUGUGCUUAACGCGGGGGAACUUGCACUUAGGUUAGGUAUAACUGACCGAAAGGUGUGUUAAGACCGGUUAAUGUCUUCGGGGCAAAGAUUUCUUGCUAUUGGAUGGGCCCGGGUUGGAUUCGCUGGUUGGUAGGGUACAAGCCGACCAAGGCGGGGUUCCAUAGCUGGUCGGAGAGGAUGAUCAGCCACGCUGGGACUGAGACACGGCCCAGACUCCUACGGAAGGGAGCAGUAGAGAAUAUUAGACAAUGGACGAAAGCCUGAUCCAGCAAUGCCGCGUGAGUGAUGAAGGCCUUAGGGUUGUAAAGCUCUUUUACCCGGGAUGAUAAUGACAGUACCGGGUGAAUAAGCACCGGCUAACUCCGUG
rnacentral:rRNA from 1 species